UACAGAGGUCCCAAGCGUUGUUCGGAUUCACUGGGCGUAAAGGGUACGUAGGUGGCGGGGUAAGUCGGAUGUGAAAGCUCGGAGCUCAACUCCGAAAUGGCAUUGGAAACUACCUUGCUCGAGGGUUGGAGGGGGGACUGGAAUUCUCGGUGUAGCAGUGAAAUGCGUAGAUAUCGAGAGGAACACCAGUGGCGAAGGCGAGUCCCUGGACAACUCCUGACACUGAGGCACGAAAGCUAGGGGAGCAAACAGG
rnacentral:rRNA from 1 species